CCUACGGGUGGCAGCAGUAGGGAAUAUUGCUCAAUGGGGGAAACCCUGAAGCAGCAACGCCGCGUGGAGGAUGAAGGUUUUCGGAUUGUAAACUCCUUUUGUUAGAGAAGAGAAUGACGGGAACUAACGAAGAAGCACCGGCGAACUCCGUGCCAGCAGCCGCGGUAAUACGGAGGGGGCAAGCGUUACUCGGAAUCACUGGGCGUAAAGAGCGCGUAGGCGGGAUAGCAAGUCAGAUGUGAAAUCCUAUGGCUUAACCAUAGAACUGCAUUUGAAACUUUUAUUCUAGAGUAUGGGAGCGGUAGGUGUAAUUCUUGGUGUAGCGGUCCAAUCCGUA
rnacentral:rRNA from 1 species